AGUGAACGCUGGCGGUAGGCCUAACACAUGCAAGUCGAACGGCAGCACAGUAAGAGCUUGCUCUUACGGGUGGCGAGUGGCGGACGGGUGAGGAAUACAUCGGAAUCUACUUUUUCGUGGGGGAUAACGUAGGGAAACUUACGCUAAUACCGCAUACGACCUACGGGUGAAAGCAGGGGAUCUUCGGACCUUGCGCGAUUGAAUGAGCCGAUGUCGGAUUAGCUAGUUGGCGGGGUAAAGGCCCACCAAGGCGACGAUCCGUAGCUGGUCUGAGAGGAUGAUCAGCCACACUGGAACUGAGACUCGGUCCAGACUCCUACGGGAGGCAGCAGUGGGGAAUAUUGGACAAUGGGCGCAAGCCUGAUCCAGCCAUACCGCGUGGGUGAAGAAGGCCUUCGGGUUGUAAAGCCCUUUUGUUGGGAAAGAAAAGCAGCGGGUUAAUACCCCGCUGUUCUGACGGUACCCAAAGAAUAAGCACCGGCUAACUUCGUG
rnacentral:rRNA from 1 species